AUACGUAGGGGGCGAGCGUUGUCCGGAAUGAUUGGGCGUAAAGGGCGCGUAGGCGGCCCGGUAAGUCUGGAGUGAAAGUCCUGUUUUUAAGAUGGGAAUUGCUUUGGAUACUGUCGGGCUUGAGUGCAGGAGAGGUAAGUGGAAUUCCCAGUGUAGCGGUGAAAUGCGUAGAGAUUGGGAGGAACACCAGUGGCGAAGGCGACUUACUGGACUGUAACUGACGCUGAGGCGCGAAAGUGUGGGGAGCAAACAGGAUUAGAUACCCUGGUAGUCCACACUGUAAACGAUGAAUGCUAGGUGUAGGGGGUAUCGACCCCUUCUGUGCCGCAGUCAACACAAUAAGCAUUCCGCCUGGGGAGUACGGCCGCAAGGUUGAGACUCAAAGGAAUUGACGGGG
rnacentral:rRNA from 1 species